rnacentral:rRNA from 1 species
GAUGAACGCUGGCGGCGUGCUUAACACAUGCAAGUCGAACGGAAAGGCCCAAGCUUGCUUGGGUACUCGAGUGGCGAACGGGUGAGUAACACGUGGGUGAUCUGCCCUGCACUUUGGGAUAAGCCUGGGAAACUGGGGCUAAUACCGGAUAGGACCACUUCCUGGAUGUUGUGGGGGAAAGUUUUUCGGUUGUGGGAGGAGCUCGCGGCCUUUCAGCUUGUGGGUGGGGUAAUGGCGUACCAAGGCGUUGACGGGGAUCCGGCGUGUGAGGGUGUACGGCCACAUUGGGGGUGUGAGACGGCCCACACUCCUCCGGGGGGCGGCAGUGGGGAAUAUUGCACAAUGGGCGCGGGCCUGAGACGGCGACGCCGCGUGGGGGGUGAGGGCGUUCGGGUUGUAAACUCCUUUCGCUAGUGACGAAGCGUUUUUGUGACGGUACCUGGUGAAGAAGCACCGGCUAACUACGUG